AUUCCAGCUCCAAUAGCGUAUACUAAAGUUGUUGCAGUUAAAAAGCUCGUAGUUGAAUUUCUGGUCGUGGCGACCGGUCCGCCCCUCACGGGGUGUGCACCUGGUCUCUGCGUCCAUCCUCGGGGAGAGCGUAUCUGGCAUUCAGUUGUCGGGUGCGGGAUCCUCGUCAUUUACUGUGAGCAAAAUAGAGUGUUCAAAGCAGGCUUAGGCCGUUGAAUACAUUAGCAUGGAAUAAUAAGAUAGGGCCUUGGUCUAUUUUGUUGGUUUGCAUUCCAAGGUAAUGAUUAAUAGGGAUAGUUGGGGGUAUUCGUAUUCAAUUGUCAGAGGUGAAAUUCUUGGAUUUAUGAAAGAUGAACUCAUGCGAAAGCAUUUACCAAGGAUGUUUUCAUCA
rnacentral:rRNA from 1 species